ACAAGUAUAGGUGGUGUGUAGAGGUGAGGUGAGGUGUAUAUACUCACUAUGUGUAGAGGUGACGGUGAGGUGGUGUGUAGAGGUGAGGUGGUGUGUAGAGGUGAGGGUGUGUAGAGGUGAGGUGGUGUCUAGAGGUGGUAUAUACUCACUAUGUGUAGAGGUGACGGUGAGGUGGUCAGGCCGUGGAAGGAGAUACUGUAGUCAACGGUGACGUCACCAAGGCUGGCCCACCACCGGGCGACACAUAACUCUACUGUCCUCCCCGAC
ensembl:lncRNA